GACGAACGCUGGCGGCGUGCUUAACACAUGCGAGUCGAACGGAAAGGCCCUCCUUUCGUUGUGUGCUCGAGUGGCUCACGUGUCAGUAACACGUGUAUAACCUGCCCUUUCCUUUCCGAUCUCUUCAGGAAACUUGGGCUACUACCGCAUAUGAGCUCCUGCUCCAUAGUGUGGUGUGGAUAGUUUCGGCGGGUGUGGUUGGAGUCGCGGGUUAUCUGCUUGCCGGUGGGCUAGUGGCUUACCAAGGCUCUGACGGGUAGCCGGCCUGAGAGGGUGACCGGCGACAUUGGGAAGGAGAUACGGCCCAGAAGCCUAGGGGAGGAAGGAGUGAGGAAUAGUGCACAAUGGGCGGAAGCCUGAGGCAGCAACGCCGGGUGCGGGAUGACGGCCUUCGGGUUGUAAACAGCUUUCGCCUGUGAUGAAGCGUGAGUGACGGUAAUGGGUGAAGAAGCACCGGCUAACUACGUG
rnacentral:rRNA from 1 species